rnacentral:rRNA from 1 species
UGGGGAAUAUUGCACAAUGGGCGCAAGCCCGAUGCAGCCAUGCCGCGUGUAUGAAGAAGGUCUUCGGGUUGUAAAGUACUUUCAGCGGGGAGGAAGGGUGUAAAGUUAAUACCUUUGCUCAUUGACGUUACCCGCAGAAGAAGCACCGGCUAACUCCGUGCCAGCAGCCGCGGUAAUACGGAGGGUGCAAGCGUUAAUCGGAAUUACUGGGCGUAAAGCGCACGCAGGCGGUCUGUCAAGUCGGAUGUGAAAUCCCCAGGCGCAACCAUGGAACUGCAUUCGAAACUGGCAGGCUAGAGACUUGUAGAGGGGGGUAGAAUUCCAGGUGUAGCGGUGAGAUGCGUAGAGAUCUGGGGGAGUACCGGUGGCGAAGACGGCCCCCUAGACAAAGACUGGCGCUCAGGUGCGAAAACGUGGGGAGCAAACAGG